rnacentral:lncRNA from 10 species
GUUUCCCUGGAGACUAGAAGAGUAGGGUUAAGGCAGGGCUCAAAGCCUGCAGGUUCUCUUUAGUAGAGCAGGCCAUACAAUAGAAAAUGCAGGACCCCAUGCAAAGCCUUUGUGCUUCUAGGAUCCCCUCGCUACAUGGACAAGGCUCAGGGUACCUCCCCUUAGACCAGGUUUCCCUAUAGGCCUGCUGAAGCGUCUGGGGGUCAGCUGGCUCUCAGAACUGGGCAAAAGGCAGUGCGCCACCUGGAAGCAGUUCUAAGGGUGAGCAGGAAGGGCAGGUGCACUCACUUGAUAUGCUGGAGCCUGUGGUUUCCAGACAGUGCUGUGGCAAUGCAUAUCGCCCCGUCCAUCCCCAGAGAAUUCUCUUGAAGACUAAGUGGAAAAGAGAUGGAGACACACGGUGAGCCAUCAGGGCAGAAGGAAAACACCCGGGGAAGCAACAGUGCAUUGUCUGGGGGCAGUAACCCAGGCAGAUGUGUCCACAGGUGCCAUGGCAACUCCAGGUGGGAGUUGACCCUGGAGACAGGUGUCUACGAGUGGCCAGAUUGUCCCACGCAAGUGCGCUGGAGGAUGUAAGGCCAUAAAUGCAAGAUGUGAGUGACUUCUGACUGAAGCUAAGCACACUCAACAAACCCAGCUGCAGUGGAAUGUGGACUAUAAUAAGUCUGAUUGUUUAUAUUCAGAAGGAAAUAGCUACAGAAGAAAUCAGGAGCAUUUUAUUCCAUCAGGGAGGACCCAGCAGAGAACUCUGCUGCUCCAGGAUGCAGGCCCUGGGCAACCAUU